rnacentral:rRNA from 1 species
AGCGAACGCUGGCGGCAGGCUUAACACAUGCAAGUCGAGCGGGCACUUCGGUGUCAGCGGCAGACGGGUGAGUAACACGUGGGAACGUACCCUUCGGUUCGGAAUAACGCUGGGAAACUAGCGCUAAUACCGGAUACGCCCUUUUGGGGAAAGGUUUACUGCCGAAGGAUCGGCCCGCGUCUGAUUAGCUAGUUGGUGGGGUAAUGGCCUAGCAAGGCGACGAUCAGGAGCUGGUCUGAGAGGAUGACCAGCCACGCUGGGAAUGAGACACGGACCAGAAUCCGACGGGAGGGAGCGGUGGGGAAUAUAGGACAAGGGGCGCAAGCGUAAUCAAGCCAUGCGGGGUGAGAGAGGAAGGGCGUAGGGUUGUAAAGCUCUUUUGGCCGGGACGAUAAUGACGGUACCGGAAGAAUAAGCCCCGGCUAACUUCGUG